GGCUUUGGGGUGAGUAGCCAUGCGAGUUGAUGGGAUACCUAAAAUUUCCAUAGCAAACUGCUCAGUAACACAUGAUCAACUUGCCCUAUAGAGAAAAAUAACCUCGGGAAACUGAGGAUAAUGUUUCAUAGUUGAAAAGGCUUGGAAAAGUUUUUCAAUUAAAUGGAUAAGAAAAAUGGUUUUUAUCUGCUAUAGGAUAGGAUCGUGGUCGAUUAUGGUUGUUGGUGAGGUAAUGGCUCACCAAGCCGAUAAUCGAUAGGGGCCGUGAGAGCGGGAGCCCCGAGAUGGGUACUGAGACAACGACCCAGGUCUUACGAGACGCAGCAGGCGCGAAACCUCCGCAAUACACGAAAGUGUGACGGGGUUACCCAAAGUGUUCAAUUUUGAACUGUGGUAGGUGAGUAAUGUCCCCUACUAGAAAGGAGAGGGCAAGGCUGGUGCCAGCCGCCGCGGUAAAACCAGCUCUUCAAGUGGUCGGGAUAAUUAUUGGGCUUAAAGUGUCCGUAGCCGGUUUAGUAAGUUCCUGGUAAAACCGGGUAGCUUAACUAUCUGCAUGCUAGGAAUACUGCUAUACUAGAGGGCGGGAGAGGUCUGAGGUACUACAGGGGUAGGGGUGAAAUCUUAUAAUCCUUGUAGGACCACCAGUGGCGAAGGCGUCAGACUGGAACGUGCCUGACGGUGAGGGACGAAAGCCAGGGGAGCGAACCGGAUUAGAUACCCGGGUAGUCCUGGCCGUAAACGAUGCAUACUAGGUGAUGGCAUGGCCAUGAGCCGUGUCAGUGCCGUAGGGAAACCGUUAAGUGUGCCGCCUGGGAAGUACGGUCGCAAGGCUAAAACUUAAAGGAAUUGGCGGGGGAGCACCACAAGGGGUGAAGCCUGCGGUUCAAUUGGAGUCAACGCCGGA
rnacentral:rRNA from 1 species